rnacentral:rRNA from 1 species
CCUACGGGAGGCAGCAGUGAGGAAUAUUGGUCAAUGGUCGGGAGACUGAACCAGCCAAGCCGCGUGAGGGAGGAAGGUACAGAGUAUCGUAAACCUCUUUUGUCAGGGAACAAAGACUGGGACGCGUCCCCGGAUGAGUGUACCUGAAGAAAAAGCAUCGGCUAACUCCGUGCCAGCAGCCGCGGUACUACGGAGGAUGCGAGCGUUAUCCGGUUUGAUUGGGUUUAAAGGGUGAGCAGAGGGGCUGUUAAGUGAGGGGUCAAAGCCCGGGGCACAACCCCGGCCCGCCGUGGAAACUGGCAGUCUCGAGUUGGAGAGAAGUAUGCGGAAUGCGCGGUGUAGCGGUGAAAUGCAUAGAUAUCGCGCAGAACUCCGAUUGCGAAGGCAGCAUGCCGGCUCCACACUGACGCUGAGGCACGAAAGCGUGGGGAGCAAACAGGAUUAGAUACCCCGGUAGUC